rnacentral:rRNA from 1 species
CAGUCGCCACGGGAAUACGUAGGUGGCAAGCGUUGUCCGGAAUUAUUGGGCGUAAAGGGCUCGCAGGCGGUUUCUUAAGCCUGAUGUGAAAGCCCCCGGCUCAACCGGGGAGGGUCAUUGGAAACUGGGAAACUUGAGUGCAGAAGAGGAGAGUGGAGUUCCACGUGUAGCGGUGAAAUGCGUAGAGAUGUGGAGGAACACCAGUGGCGAAGGCGACUCUCUGGUCUGUAACUGACGCUGAGGAGCGAAAGCGUGGGGAGCGAACAGGAUUAGAUACCCCAGUAGUCCCUGUCUCUUAUAC